rnacentral:rRNA from 1 species
CAGUCGCCGCGGGAAUACGUAGGGUGCAAGCGUUAAUCGGAAUUACUGGGCGUAUAGCGUGCGCAGGCGGUUAUAUAAGACAGAUGUGAAAUCCCCGGGCUCAACCUGGGAACUGCAUUUGUGACUGUAUAGCUAGAGUACGGCAGAGGGGGAUGGAAUUCCGCGUGUAGCAGUGAAAUGCGUAGAUAUGCGGAGGAACACCGAUGGCGAAGGCAAUCCCCUGGGCCUGUACUGACGCUCAUGCACGAAAGCGUGGGGAGCAAACAGGAUUAGAUACCCCAGUAGUCCCUGUCUCUUAUAC